GGGGAGCUUAUAAUUCCCAGCUGGAAGUCUCUUGGAUAGUGCCUUGUGAUGCUGAAGGCACCCACGCUCUCCUAACAGCAGCUUAAAGAAGUCUGGUCACUGGGCAGGAAGGGCAUUUCGGAAAGUUGAACCAAACCACUGCCUAAGCAUCUGGAACUAAAGCUUGGUGAUUAAUGCUCUGGCAGAGCACCUGGAGUGGGGUAAUAUACAGAGUGAAAUGGAGAAAUCAGAACUGAUGUUGAUUUGGCCCCAGUACCAAGUCAAUGUCACUGGGAAGCUUGAAGUCAACCGUAAGCACAGUGUGGUGAUGAGUGAGAACCAUCUUAAGCUGACAUCUUGGCCACCUCCCAGAUCUGGGCCUCAUGCACUCAUCCUAGGGGUGAGUGGUUUUCUGGGACUUCUGAUGACGUUCAACUUUGCAAAAACGAUGAACUCCUCCUCGGAGCAAAGCUCACGGCUCAGAACAAUUCGGCAGCAUCUUAAAGCAUCUGUAUGACCUGUAUGUACAGCACAGAGAGUGAAACUGAACUCAGUAACUGUUUCACCAAGCAGCAACUGGAAAAGGAUAGGAGGAACAAUAAGGCAUUUAUGCAAUGCUCCAUAUGCAUCAGCCUCAGCCAUCUGGGAUCCAGGUGAUCCGUGCUCCCAAGGACAUCCCAGACACACAGAGCGUUACCCGGGGCUGACCUACGCUCACAUCAGUUGCAUUCAUGAAACAACACAACCAAAGGAGGUGUCCAUGUCUUGCUGGAAGGAAUACCCCGAGAUAUUAAAAUGACUGUUUGUCCAAAAGUAUAUAUAUAUAUUAAUCCACAGAAACAAGAUUCCAAAAGAAAACUAAACACUGAACUUGGUCAGCUGAACUAUGUGACAGUGUUCUCUGAGCACUGCCUUGAUGCCAGUGCUAGUCUAGGCAGAGGGAGAACCUUAUCCUUGGUGCAUGUCAGCAGAUCAGUCCAAGAGUUCCAUGCAUAUCCCAAGUAUUGACAGCACCAAGUAUGGAUCCUGCUUGCACAGAAAGCUCUCCAUGUUUAAUUUGAAAUUAAGAUUUUUUUCAUUCUGAUUUUUUUCAAAACAAAAAUGAUGGAGCUAAAGUUCUAUGCAACCAGAAAAUCAAUGGAAAAGAAGGCCCUUUGAAAGCUAAAAGCUUCAAAUGCACUGCUGAUCUUCAAAACUUUGCAGAUAAAAGAAAAAAUAUCCGCCCAUUUCUGGAUUUCAUUGAAAUCAGAAAUUGCAUGCUCUGCACUCCCAUAUGAAUGUCAAAUCUUGCACCUCAUCAGCAUUUAUCAUUAUUCCCACUUAAAAAUGAAUCUGUCACAGAUGAAGUGGAAGGUCGAACGAGCUCAUUGGCCCCUGGCUGGUGCGUGCUUCCCAAAGCUAAAUUCCAGAAGAGUACACAAGAGGACAAAAAGGAUGCAGAAGAGCAACAGAAAGGAGCUCAGCUCGGGGAAAGAGGAGAGCUGCUUUCUGCACGGAUGUCUGAAAUGCCUAAACCAGCCUGAUGCUCACACCAGCUGAGCCAAACUCUGGCCUCCCUGGGGAGUAGCAUCAUGGUGGCCACAGCCUGGGGAGCUCCAGUUCAAUGAUAACCAAUUGUGGGGCUGUCCUCUAGGAAAGCAUCAGUUGCUUAAUGUUCCAUUGUUAAAAAUGGAUGGGAUUAAAGAAAAGUAAGGCCUAAAAAUACAGGCUCAAUGAACUUGCUGAGAAGGCGGCUUCUUUGCUGGAUCUUAAACCCUUGCUCAUCUCACAGUGUUUGUUUCUGUGAAGGUGUGCAUGCCGUUGUUCUACACACAUCUAAUAUAUGCAUGGCAGUGUGCCUCUUGGCUUUUUCUUUUUAUUUAAUCUUUGACUUGACAGCGUUGGAACUUGCUUCUCUGUGAAACUGGAGAAGGAGGGAUUGUUGUGUGCGUCAGGAUUUGCUAUUGUUUUGUUUCUUUCCCUUUUAUUGAGUUACAUAAAGAAUCCCAGCAAUUCCUGGCUGCUCCUGAGUGCUCAGGUGUCCAUUUGUUUAUUUUUGUUGGACUCAGGUUGUACUUGGUGCAAAGACCACCACAUUGGCCACCACUGGAUGGAUGGUUUAGGACACUGAUGAGGGCAGCUGGCCCAGCAAGGAGCCUUAUUUUUACAGCAGCAGAGAAACCUGCCCUUCACUUUUGUUUGGUUGCAUUUGUAACACCCUUCAAGUGUUUUUAAUUUGGGAUUUUCUUCUAGAUGAUCUCAGGAUGAACAACUUCCCCAGAACCCUCCUCCCAUGAAACAACAAUUCAUAAAACCAGAGAAGUGCCCAGGAGCAAAAUACCCUCCAGAUAAUUGAGAGCCAGCUUUGUGAAUUUCUGCUUUGAUAACAGAAAUCAUACAAAAAACUGAGCUGGAAGAAAUUUUUAAGGUCAUCUUACCCUUCCACCAGCCUCCAGAUAGGAUCUGCUGUGCUGAAGGUGCUGGAUUUCAGAUAGUUAUCUCAGCCAUUGCUCAGACCUUCCCAUGGCAGUGUUUUCACACAGCUAAUCAUCCCAGCAAUUCAUGAGUCUCACAACUGGAAAAUGUCUCUUAACAUCUCACCUGAAUUUCCUUUGUUGCACUUUAAGCCCAUUACUUCCUUUCCUGUCCCCAGCAGACAUGAAGAGCAGUUUAUCCUUCCUCUUUGCAGUAGCCUUUCACAUACUUGAAGGGUGUUAUCACGUCUAACCGUCUUCAAUCCCCUAGACUAAACAAACCCAACUCUUUCAGUCUUUCCUCAUAGCUCAUGUUUUCUAGCCCUCUGAUCGCUCUUGUUCCUGCCUUCCUGCUGGACGCUCUCCAGUUGGUCAACAACUGUCUUGGAGCCUGAUGCUCACAAGUGGACACAGAUUGAUUCAACAGGUUAUUUCAGGUCAAAAACAGAGAAGAGUAAUUUCGAAGUGGGAGACCCUCACCAUUAAUGACCUACUUGCACCAGCUGCAGCACCUCUGUGAAACUUGGCUCUGGGUCAAACUGGCAGUCUCCCUGAGAAGUGGUAUACUCACAGAUGAAUAUCAGCAACUCGGAUUCAUCCUGGAACCUAAAAGGCAGCUGAAGCCAAAAAAAAAAAAAAAAAGACAAACAACAUCCUCUCAAUAGUCUGUUAGUAGAAAACUCAGGGACAAAUGACAAAUGGCAUUGUCCUGUUGUCACAGAACAGGGGCUUCUUCCUUUCCAUUUCCCAACGCUUAUUCUUCAGCUGAAGGAACAUGCAGGUAUGUGUAAUAUUGCACUUGCGAAAAGUCCAAAGCAAGCCCCAGGAAGACUUGUCUGUACAUUCAGCACAGUGCAAAGCCUGGAGGGAGGUGAACUCACUUUGGAAAUCACGGCAUAUUGGCUUCUAAGCAAGGAGGAUGGACUUAUUCACUGGACCAUGCUGACACAGCUCUUGAGCUCCUGGUCCUGCUGCCAGCUCUAUGGCCAGCACUGGGAUCCUUGCAGCACACUUCAUCGUAUGGUGUGGAAUUGCCCUAAGAAGCUCAUUGGGUUGUGGGAAAGGUUUUUACUCCUAGAGUCAGUUUUCAGGGCAGAAGGACUUCUGCUGUCUGGCUUUCUUGUCACAUUGCAGACUUUUUCCCUUGAAAUUGCUCUUUCCAAACUAACCUUAAUACCCCUCAAAGAGCACUUCAUUAGCCAAAAUCUUUCGCUUCUGUCAAGAGAAGACAAUGGAAGGACGUGUCAAAACAGCUAUGCUGCUACACCUCAGGCAAGGCUCAGCUCUCUUCUGGGGAACUGCUCCAUUACAUAUUGGCUAGGAUUUGUGCCAAGAUUUGUCAGUUAAUAUUUGCAAAAUUUAAUCACAACAGCCCAGAUUCUGCAUUGCUUUAAUCCCAUUGAAUUGUUCCUUAGUCCGUGGCAAGCGCCUCCUGUUUCAAUUAGACCGUUCAUGGUUAUGGGUGCUUUUGAAUAAGAAGGGAUCAAAACCUCAUUCUAGAAAUCUGGUUUCAAAAUGUCUUCAUCCAAAAGAGGACUGCAUUUCAGCUUCUGAAUUCAUAGUAUAUUAUAAAAAGGGAAGGUUUAAAUGAAUACCAUACCUGGACCAUUGUAGCAAAUGACUGUGAGGACCAGACUUGCUGAGAAGAGGAGAUGAGUGCAGCUUGGCUCUUUGCAAUGCAUCUCCCUGGAAUUUUCCUCCUUUAAAUGAAAGAGAGAUCAAACCAGAAAAAUAAGCAGGUCCUACUCCAAGAGGCAGGAUUGCCUCCUGAGUGCCAGAUAAUAAUAAACGAUGUGUUUGUAAUCCAAAGCAGAGAGACACUGGCAUUUUCUUCGACAUCAAAUGCAAAAAGGGAACAAAUAGUUCUGUAAAGUGCUUUUACAAUGCAAGGUGAAAGAUCUUUCACAAGAGAGAGAAUACUCUCUGGGGACGGCUGUUUGUAUCUUUUCAUUUUACAUCAGCGUGAAGAAUCUGGAAAAAAAGGAGAACUGUAUACGUACCUAAUAGCACAUAAUUUGAGGAAGAAAAGAGAUGAAACUACUGUUAAGAAGAGUCAAUUAAAAAAAUAUACCCAGGAAGGAGAAGAGACUGAAGGGGAAAAAGCUUGUAAGCACUUCUUUGUGCUGAGGUUUUUUAUCUCAGCCCAAAAGUUCCUUCUGAAUGGAACUGCACAGAGGGGAAAUCCCACCUCCUCCGGGAGGCAGCCACUGUGGGACCUGGCGGGUGCUCCUGGCAGCAGCAGCACGGGGCUGCCAGGGAAGCAGAGGAUCCGUGCAGCCCAGCUGGGGGAAAUUAAUUCCAGCAGAACAGAGCUGAUUCAGUUAUAAUUUGACUAGACCUCUCCUCCACAAACACCACAUGCCCUCCAGAAUGAUAUGAGAGCAGCUCCAAAAGUAAUGCCUUCUGUGUUAAUAGGUUGGCCCACAACAUUAGAGGCAGACGUUGGUGGUACAGCAGCAGAGGUUGAACCUUCCCACCAGUAUUCCAUUACAUGUUGUUGCCGUGUGACAGAUGGCAGCAGAGGAACAGUCUGACACAAUGGCAUCUGACGUGGAAGUACGUAAGAAGCAAAGGUGUGUCACUGAAUUCCUCCAUGUGGAAAAAAAUGGCACCCACUGACGUUCACCAAUGACUGCUGAAUGUUUACGGAGACCAAACAGUGGACGUGAGCACGGUGAAAGCUGGACAGUGUGGGCAACGUUUUCCUAGCAACAAUGCCAUCGUAGCAGCUGGGAAACAGUGGGUCACUUCUGCUGGUGCAGAUUUUUAUGAGCAUGUCAUGCAGGCUCUUGUUCAUUGCUGGUGAAAACACAGAGCUAAUGGUGGUGACUGUGUUGAAAAGUACUGUUUUGUAGUUAAGAAUUUGCUCUAUCAAAUACUGUUAUUGUGCUCUUUGUAUCUGUUGUGGUUUCCAUGAAAAUGAAUAGGAGGCACUACUUCUGGAGUGACCUACAUAUUUCAUGCAAUCGUAUAGUCUGGGCUCAGUCCUGUGCCCCAUCAGAAGAUUAGAGGGCAGGAUUAAACUUUGUGCAGAACAUUUUACCUCUGUGCAUCAAUUCCACCUUUUAAAAAGUGUGACGAGCUUUAUUCUCUGGUUAUUUCCUAAAGACACAGGUUGGCUCAGCAGUCCUGGCUUCCACUGGAACACCUGCUCUUUACAGGCUCUGCUGACUGAAGGACAAGGUAAUUAGGUAACUUACCCAAAGGUCACAUGGUGAGUAAAGUAGGAUUAGCGCUCAAGUUCCUCCUGGCAACUAGUCCUGUGCUGCGACAAUUAGAAAAGGUUAACCAUCCUCUUUUAGCUUUUGUUUUCCAUCUUCCAGAAUGUGGCAGCACGUACGCAGGGCUGGGCUGCCUCACAUUUCCUCAGCACUAUUUUGGAAAAAGAAGAAAACACAAAAGAAAGCAAACAAAGAACUCACCCCUGAAAGAGCUUUGAAAAGCCAUCGUAUCUGGUAGGAUGUGGCGCUUAAGAGAGAACGGAGCAAAUACUGGAUUAAGCUAAGCACACUGAAUAUGAAUUCUGGAAAAUGACCUGCUCCCUCGAUAAUCCCCAAAGCAGCACACACAGCCACUGUGCAACGCUUUGUCAUGCUGCUUCCUGUCUUUGCUCAGAAGCCAGCCUGGCUUCCUUGCCCAUCUACCCCAUAGGUGAGGCAAACAUUAGCAAAGGCUCUGCUGGAGUUGUCCUGCCUCAGCUCCUUCUUGCCUGAGACUUCUUGUCCAGGUCCCCUUGCACAGGCAUAAGACAAUGGGAAGAGUCCCAUUGGUACUGGGUGUACCCCACAAAACGUCUGGUUCCUCUUGGUGGGUUGUCCAAGGGCCUGGGCAGACAGCUCUUCUUGGGCGCAGCCAAGUGCUGGUCUUCCUUCCUUGGGGAAGUUUAGUGCUACUUUUGUUAGGACAGCAUAAGUCAUCUAAAGGACUUCUGCAUGUGCCACAUGGAUGCCCCUUUAGACACAAUUUUGGUGGCAUCUAGAUAAGAAAAUCACCACACUCUGUGCUGUCUGCUCCCAAAGCCAUUCAGUGGGACUCUUCCUAUUGGCCUAUGCAGUGUCUCUGCAAGCCAGGGACCUUGGCUGUUUCCAAGAGAGCCUUCCACUUUCCAAAGAAGGUGGACCUCCAGAGUCCUCCUCCGGUCCCUCCAGUGCCACUCCUCCCUCCUUCUCUUGUUGGUGACUGAACACAAAGGUCAGCUGCUUACCACUGAACGCAUUUCAACCACAACCUUCAGAGGACGUGUGUGAGACAGGCUCACCUGCCAUAGUCCCAGAAGGUUCAUCCUGCACUAGGCAGUGUAACUGGGUGAUGUAUUCCUCUUUCCCACUAUAAAUAUAGCCCUAGGGUAAAGGGUUGCAAUAAAAGAAAAUCCUUUCGCCUACUGCACUAUGCAGUGGCAGUGCAGUCAUUUAUUUCCCUGCCUGCUAACUGCUUGAAAUUCAGGUAGCUCUAUGAGCUGGGAAUUUACUGGAUCAUUCAUCAUAAAGCAGCUGUUUCAGAGUCAGACAGGGACCACAGCUUCCCAAAUACUAGUUGUCAGGAUUUGCAUUACUUAAAUUCGCAGUCAUUGAGAGUAUUUGCAAAAGCGAGCCCUAUUCCUAGGCUGUGAGUGGGACAGCUUGACUUUAAAGAGUCAGCUCAUAUUUCUUAUGUGUUAGAAAGAGCACCUGUUUAAACUAUGUAGAUCUGACGAACAGUGGGUAUGUUUUGGGCACUGACCCGUUAAUAGAAAGGGUGGGGCUUUGCAGUCAUUAACAGCAAUCAGCAACUGAAACAAACACAGUGAAAUAAAUCAGCGUUUUCUUUAAUCCAAGGAUAGGCAGGAGGGUGAAGACCAGGACUGAAAUAAACUUCCAACACCUCAUGUCUCAUCCCCAGUUGCUGGCCCUCUCACGUGCCAAGAGUUGAGACACACCGAGAGUUGAGAACCUCAGAAACAUCGCUGUUUCUAUUCCUGCAGCAGUCCCAAGCACUAGUUUGUUAUUAAUGACUCCGAACUGGCAAAAGAGUCCGGAGCAAGACAUUAUAAUCAGAGCAUCUCACACUAAGAUACCAUACUAUCCACUCUAAGAGCUUUUCGUAAACCUUGAUUAAAACUCUAAGAGGAAAGGGCAAGCUUUCUCUGUGCAUUUUUAUCAGCAAGCAAUGGUGAGUUUGCAUGUUUUGCCACCUCCUUGUCACUCACUGCAGAAGUACUCAGAGGGAACAUGACUGCCCAUCUGAACCAAAGAUUUCCCUCAGCCAACUCCCCUGCAACCACAUCCCCUCACGAGUUCUUUCAGCAAGACCCUUAGAUUCUACCACUUUGGUUCUACCAUUCAUAAACUGAUGUGCAAGCAGCUACAUCUGCUCAUCCGCCUUUGUGAAAGCACCCAUCCAUCAGCCACCUAAAAUAAGCAGCUGGAGUUACCCCUCACCUACAGCUCUGAGGACAUCACCGAGUUUGUGUAACCUUGGGUGGCUGCCUGCUCCUGGGGCAGUCCUGGCAAAUGCAGUUCUCACCUGCUCUGUGCAUUAGCAUUGUCCAUCUCAGCGGCCCAAAAGGUUGGGUGCAGGGUUAUGUAUGCCUUCUGAAAUGGGCAGUGAUCUCUUCCACGGCCACUGAGCUCAGAAAGCAUGCCCUGUACCUACAAGACCAGUCACCCACCAAAAAGUGAAAUGGCAGAAAGCACUUGUGUACAAAGCGCUCAUGGCAUUUGCACAGGGCCUUGACUGGGUGCUGGACACAUAAUACUUCUGGAGACUCUGUAAGUCAUGCACAGCCCCUGCUGUAUCACAGCCAUGUAUGGUCACUUGUGACUUGGUAAUGUCAUUAGAGGUCACCAGCACCACCAAAAAUUCUUCAGCCUGGAAUUGUUUUAUGAAAGAUCAAACCUUUCAAAAAUAAUAAAUUUUUCACUACAUCAAAGACAGUUUACUAACAUUCAAUGAAAACCUUUUCCUUAGAUUCUGGAAGAAGGAACGAGCCUCAUAAAAUAAUAAAUAUCUUUGCAUUUUAUCUCCUAUGCCUCUAUCUAUGGAGGUAUUUAUAUGGCCCCCAUAACUGGUCUCUGGGCCCUUACCUGACCUGAUUAGAGAACAGAUCUACUAAACAAAGCCAUGAUUUGUGUGCACACCAAACUGGUCUUCUUAAUAUAGCUUUCUGGAGGAGAGACAAAUUUGCUAGGGAAGUGGAGUUAAUAAGAAAUGAGUUGCUGCAACAAGUUUAUUUGUUGUAGAGGACACUGUUUGGUUGCAACACGUUUUUUUUUUUGUUGUUGCUGUUUGGUUGAUGCCAUGCAAUUUAAAGAGUUUAUCCCUUAAGGGCAGACAGAAGAGCCAAUCAAAACACCGGGGGCCUGAAACUUCACUAUACAUCUCAUCUUUUGCAAAGCAGAAGCAUUCAUAUACCUGAGUCUCGGCCCACUGGUGAAUUCCCCAUGAGUGGGGAUAUCAACAGAAGAGAUCCUACAAUCUCUUUGCAGAGAAGUAGGACAAAUGAAAGUGACCAGACCCAUGGUGCACCGCAGCUACCCUACAUGCCAGAAGAGGCAUCUCUGUCCCUUUGCCACUGCCUGGUCCAGUCCCAGCCUCGGGGCUGCCUUGUCCCUGUAGCCAUGCCCUGUUUAUGGGAAUGGGGGAUGAGUGCUGAGCCUCACUUCUACUUCAAUGGGGACUCUGCACUCUGCUGAUAGGAGGGAACAAGUUGCAACUUUCCUGAGAGCGAAAGGCCACUGCCCUUGGAAGAGCACCUGCACAAUAAGUCGUUUUGGAGGAUUGCUGGGCCAACCUGGGAUGCUGGAACUUGUAAGCUAGCAGCACCAAAAGGUAUGCCAUGCCCAAUCUCUGAAGCAAUACCACAAUCUGCACUGCUCUCCAAAGCAGCACUCUUACACUUCCAGAUGAUCUCAGACAACACCUGGGAGGCCCCAGCCACUGACUCGGAGAUGCCACUUGAAGUCAUGGAGGGGCUUAAGAGGCCAAGAGACUUUUUUUGCAGGGUUUACUUCUUGAAAUGCUUUCACCCCAUUGAAAGAUGGAAUGCCAAAACCAGGCACAAAACCUCUCAAAGAAAGCCCUUCCAGGCUCCAGCUCAGCAUGCCACCUGCCGUCAUCAUUUCUCCAACUGUUCUCAGGGGGCUCUUACAGCAGACGCAUUGGGCUGCAGCCAAGUUGGCAUGAAGUUUGCAUGAAUCUUGAGACAUUUUAUGACCUUAAUAAUGUUUAGCAGAAAUAAGCAGGGCUGUUUGCAGCUCAGGCCCAACCUAGUUAAAAGCAUUUCUUAGCAGGGUGGUGGGCACAUAAAUCAGUGUCUAUCCUCUUGCCUCUCUGUCAUUGACCUUUCUGUGGGAGGAGAAGCUGCACAGAGACAUGCGGAUUGCAGAGUACGCUCAUGUGCCAUUGUGCUGGCACCGUAUCCAUUACGAGCUUCUGCCCUUAUUCUUAGAGGACAUGUUCCAGUAAUAAUAUACCCCAGUGAACUUUUCCAUUAUGAGAUCAUGAUUUCUUCCAUGGGAGAUUCAGUAACACGUUACAAUUUACUAGCCUUUAGUUAGCCAGUAAGAAUUUUCUCACUGCAGCAAUGCAGUGCUGCACUUUUCUGAAGUGAUAAAGUCGUGUUCAACCUUUUAAACAGAGAUUCACUUCCACUUUUACACCUGUGAAAAGGAAACUUUUCUUGCAGAAAACUGAGCCUGCAUUUUCAUAUACUGCAUUUUAUACACCUGAUUUAUGCUUCCCGUCAGACAGCUCUGAAGGCCAAAUACUUGGACUGACAACCAUGAAAAAAUUGUGAGCACAGGGACAAAAAGCAAAUGCUAAUUUUGCUACUGAGAUCUCUGAAAGGGAGAUUUAUACUUUUGAAAAUGCCUAAAAAGAAACUCAUGAUGUUGCGAAUAAAGCGUCAAUAUAUUUUAACCAGGACAGGGCAUCACUGUUGAUUUAUAUUGAUGUAAUAUAAUCAUGCUUGUUACAAUCAUUUCAAAGGGAAGAUAUUCACAGAGAAGUGCAAUGGAUGACUCAGGUCUUUGUCACAGCAAAACAAUAAAAACUGCAGAAUUUAUAGCUGUAUAAUCAGGUUUUUAUUAACACCAAAUGUAAUUAGAUAACAAAGUCCAUCUCCUAAGCCUUUUCUCAAGACUUGAUCUGACCAAAGUUCUUCCCUCAAGAGGCUUUGUUUAGCUCAGAUCCUAGAUUGCAUGAAAAUGGUUCUUGGUUAGAAAACUGCACCCUACAGAGAGACUUAAGGAACUCUAUCUAUUUGGCUGAUCAAAGAGACAGCUAAGAGACAACUUGAUGGGGUUUAAGAGUGUCUGCGCAAAAAGCAUCUAGAAAGAGGGGUUCUUUGCUUGGAAAUGUGUAAGUUGAAGUGUGAAUAAUUAAGAGCAGAAACAAGCCUUUAACAGUGAAGGCAUUAGCACUGCAGUAGAUUCUCAUGAGACUUCCAGAUUUUCCAUUCUUUGAGGUUUUUCAUAGACAACAUCUCUCUCCCGACCCCCCCCCCCCCCCCCCCAAAAAAUAAGGCAGAUCAUUGGUGGGGCCAAACAUAAAAUAAAAAGAUUGACUGCAUGAAAAAGCUACUGCUCAUGGCUUGGCUCAAGUAGGUAUUCACAUAAAUAUUUCUAGAGCCCCAAUCCAUUGCCUUAUCUGCAUCAGUAGGCUGCAGAUCCCAUCUUCAUGGCCAGUCUUGAAACAUGCCUAGGCACUGGCUCUGUGCAGAGGUGGAGCCUCAAACAAAACUGCUUUGUUUUCCAGCCAUUACCCCAUUCUUCAGGACCAUGGCUGACUGGAAGAUCUGGUGCUCCACUGUAAGUUUAGAGUAUGUGGUUGGUAGUUUGAAAAUGUAAUGGGAACAUUUAGCUCCUUUCUCAGUAUGUGAAGUGCACAGAAGAUGAAAUUCAGAUUAUAAAGAUCUGCACACAUUUCUUUCUCUCAGUGUUCUCUCUAUGCCGGAGUAAUUUUAAGUUUGGGUCAGCUCAACUCAUACAUCAGACCUGCUCCCAGUAUGAAAAUCACACUGGAUUCUUCCUUCUCCCCAGAACUGAUUCUAGGUCCUUGAAAUAAUCUCACAAGAGUCUUCUUCAAAUAGCUUUUUUAAUCCCUUCAGUUCUUUGCCCUGUCCUAUUUCCAUUCUCCGACGCUCUCUUUGUAGAUAUGAGCCACGUUCCCACCGACGUCAUUACCAUAUCAAUUGUUUGCUCCGAGGACGGUCAUUAUGACUCCGUUUGUCUCUGUUAUUACUCGUUGCCCUUAGACUGGUGCUAGAGGCCUUGUCGGCACAGCCAGAAACAGAAAACACUGCGUGAUAGGGCAAUGACCAUAGCAACAACAUCACAUUAAUCAGGGUUUGUACUCCGUGUGAAGACAAACUUCCCAAACCAUCAAACUGUGUGAUACAAGAGAGCAUAAAGUUCCCUAUCAGUUGAGAAACUACAAAUCCCCCAAAUAUUCACUCCUAGACCUUCCUUCUGCAGGUGAGAGCAUGAAUUGGCCUCCAACAGGUUAACCCCUCAUAACACUUUCAGAGGAUAAUCAACACUUAAUGUCACGGUAGAUGUUAGAGCAAAAGACAUCUGAGCCUUCUGAAGCUUUUAGUUUGCAGCCCUCAUUGGGUGCUGAUAAUUUGGUUUCCCUCAAUUUAGGGAACACGAUUCAGACAGUUAAGGCUGAGCAGCAAACCUUACAAAUGCCAUGGGAUUUCUAGAAUUUAGGCUGAUUCAGG
rnacentral:lncRNA from 1 species